rnacentral:tRNA from 1 species
AAGAAAGUGACAGAGCGGUUAUGUGGCUGACUUGAAAUUAGUUUACGGGGGUUCAAUUCCUUCCUUUCUCG